GCCAGGCACGGUGGCGCGUGCCUGUAAUCCCAACAGCUCAGGAGGCUGAGGCAGGAGGAUCGCGAGUUCAAAGCCAGCCUCAGCAAAAAGCGAGGUGCUAAGCAACUCAGUGAGACCCUGUAUCAC
rnacentral:sRNA from 1 species